rnacentral:rRNA from 1 species
UACAGAGGUCUCAAGCGUUGUUCGGAUUCAUUGGGCGUAAAGGGUGCGCAGGCGGUACGGCACGUCCGUUGUGAAAUCGCUCGGCUCAACUGGGCGGGGUCAGCGGAUACGGCCGCACUUGAGCAAGCUAGGGGGCAAUGGAAUUCCCGUGUAGUGGUGGAAUGCGUAGAUAUCGGGAGGAACACCAGUGGCGAAGGCGGUUGCCUGGAGCUUUGCUGACGCUGAGGCGCGAAAGCGUGGGGAGCGAGUCGG